UGAGUGCUCCCUCUUCAGCUCCCUCGCGCACCGCACUGAUACCGGAGCCAGAAUAUGACGGCAUCAGUACGCGGCGAGCGAGGGAGCUGAAGAGGAAGCACUCA